UUAAGCGACUAAGCGUACACGGUGGAUGCCCUGGCAGUCAGAGGCGAUGAAGGACGUGCUAAUCUGCGAAAAGCGUCGGUAAGGUGAUAUGAACCGUUAUAGCCGGCGAUGUCCGAAUGGGGAAACCCAGUGCAAUUCGUUGCACUAUCGUUAACUGAAUACAUAGGUUAACGAGGCGAACCGGGGGAACUGAAACAUCUAAGUACCCCGAGGAAAAGAAAUCAACCGAGAUUCCCCCAGUAGCGGCGAGCGAACGGGGAGCAGCCCAGAGUCUGAAUCAGCUUGUGUGUUAGUGGAACGGUCUGGAAAGUCCGACGGUACAGGGUGAUAGUCCCGUACACCAAAAUGCACAGGUUGUGAACUCGAAGAGUAGGGCGGGACACGUGGUAUCCUGUCUGAAUAUGGGGGGACCAUCCUCCAAGGCUAAAUACUCCUGACUGACCGAUAGUGAACCAGUACCGUGAGGGAAAGGCGAAAAGAACCCCGGCGAGGGGAGUGAAAAAGAACCUGAAACCGUGUACGUACAAGCAGUGGGAGCACCUUCGGGUGUGACUGCGUACCUUUUGUAUAAUGGGUCAGCGACUUAUAUUCUGUAGCGAGGUUAACCGAAUAGGGGAGCCGCAGGGAAACCGAGUCUUAACUGGGCGUUAAGUUGCAGGGUAUAGACCCGAAACCCGGUGAUCUAGCCAUGGGCAGGUUGAAGGUUGGGUAACACUAACUGGAGGACCGAACCGACUAAUGUUGAAAAAUUAGCGGAUGACUUGUGGCUGGGGGUGAAAGGCCAAUCAAACCGGGAGAUAGCUGGUUCUCCCCGAAAGCUAUUUAGGUAGCGCCUCGUGAACUCAUCUUCGGGGGUAGAGCACUGUUUCGGCUAGGGGGUCAUCCCGACUUACCAACCCGAUGCAAACUACGAAUACCGAAGAAUGUUAUCACGGGAGACACACGGCGGGUGCUAACGUCCGUCGUGAAGAGGGAAACAACCCAGACCGCCAGCUAAGGUCCCAAAGUCAUGGUUAAGUGGGAAACGAUGUGGGAAGGCACAGACAGCCAGGAUGUUGGCUUAGAAGCAGCCAUCAUUUAAAGAAAGCGUAAUAGCUCACUGGUCGAGUCGGCCUGCGCGGAAGAUGUAACGGGGCUAAACCAUGCACCGAAGCUGCGGCAGCGACACUAUGUGUUGUUGGGUAGGGGAGCGUUCUGUAAGCCUGCGAAGGUGACCUGUGAGGGUUGCUGGAGGUAUCAGAAGUGCGAAUGCUGACAUAAGUAACGAUAAAGCGGGUGAAAAGCCCGCUCGCCGGAAGACCAAGGGUUCCUGUCCAACGUUAAUCGGGGCAGGGUGAGUCGACCCCUAAGGCGAGGCCGAAAGGCGUAGUCGAUGGGAAACAGGUUAAUAUUCCUGUACUUGGUGUUACUGCGAAGGGGGGACGGAGAAGGCUAUGUUAGCCGGGCGACGGUUGUCCCGGUUUAAGCAUGUAGGCUGGUUAUCCAGGCAAAUCCGGAUAAUCAAGGCUGAGGUGUGAUGACGAGGCACUACGGUGCUGAAGUAACAAAUGCCCUGCUUCCAGGAAAAGCCUCUAAGCAUCAGGUAACAUCAAAUCGUACCCCAAACCGACACAGGUGGUCAGGUAGAGAAUACCAAGGCGCUUGAGAGAACUCGGGUGAAGGAACUAGGCAAAAUGGUGCCGUAACUUCGGGAGAAGGCACGCUGGUGUGUAGGUGAAGCCCCUGCGGGUGGAGCUGAGACCAGUCGAAGAUACCAGCUGGCUGCAACUGUUUAUUAAAAACACAGCACUGUGCAAACACGAAAGUGGACGUAUACGGUGUGACGCCUGCCCGGUGCCGGAAGGUUAAUUGAUGGGGUUAUCCGUAAGGAGAAGCUCUUGAUCGAAGCCCCGGUAAACGGCGGCCGUAACUAUAACGGUCCUAAGGUAGCGAAAUUCCUUGUCGGGUAAGUUCCGACCUGCACGAAUGGCGUAAUGAUGGCCAGGCUGUCUCCACCCGAGACUCAGUGAAAUUGAACUCGCUGUGAAGAUGCAGUGUACCCGCGGCAAGACGGAAAGACCCCGUGAACCUUUACUAUAGCUUGACACUGAACAUUGAGCCUUGAUGUGUAGGAUAGGUGGGAGGCUUUGAAGCGUGGACGCCAGUCUGCGUGGAGCCAACCUUGAAAUACCACCCUUUAAUGUUUGAUGUUCUAACGUUGGCCCCUGACCGGGGUUGCGGACAGUGUCUGGUGGGUAGUUUGACUGGGGCGGUCUCCUCCCAAAGCGUAACGGAGGAGCACGAAGGUUAGCUAAUCCUGGUCGGACAUCAGGAGGUUAGUGCAAUGGCAUAAGCUAGCUUGACUGCGAGCGUGACGGCGCGAGCAGGUGCGAAAGCAGGUCAUAGUGAUCCGGUGGUUCUGAAUGGAAGGGCCAUCGCUCAACGGAUAAAAGGUACUCCGGGGAUAACAGGCUGAUACCGCCCAAGAGUUCAUAUCGACGGCGGUGUUUGGCACCUCGAUGUCGGCUCAUCACAUCCUGGGGCUGAAGUAGGUCCCAAGGGUAUGGCUGUUCGCCAUUUAAAGUGGUACGCGAGCUGGGUUUAGAACGUCGUGAGACAGUUCGGUCCCUAUCUGCCGUGGGCGCUGGAGAAUUGAGGGGGGCUGCUCCUAGUACGAGAGGACCGGAGUGGACGCAUCACUGGUGUUCGGGUUGUCAUGCCAAUGGCACUGCCCGGUAGCUAAAUGCGGAAGAGAUAAGUGCUGAAAGCAUCUAAGCACGAAACUUGCCCCGAGAUGAGUUCUCCCUGAGACUUUAAGUCUCCUGAAGGAACGUUGAAGACGACGACGUUGAUAGGCCGGGUGUGUAAGCGCAGCGAUGCGUUGAGCUAACCGGUACUAAUGAACCGUGAGGCUUAACCUU
rnacentral:rRNA from 1 species